CCUACGGGUGGCUGCAGUCGAGAAUCAUUCACAAUGGGGGAAACCCUGAUGGUGCGACGCCGCGUGGGGGAAUGAAGGUCUUCGGAUUGUAAACCCCUGUCAUGUGGGAGCAAAUUAAAAAGAUAGUACCACAAGAGGAAGAGACGGCUAACUCUGUGCCAGCAGCCGCGGUAAUACAGAGGUCUCAAGCGUUGUUCGGAAUCACUGGGCGUAAAGGGUGCGAAGGCUGUUUCGUAAGUCGUGUGUGAAAGGCGCGGGCUCAACCCGCGGACGGCACAUGAUACUGCGAGACUAGAGUAAUGGAGGGGGAACCGGAAUUCUCGGUGUAGCAGUGAAAUGCGUAGAGAUCGAGAGGAACACUCGUGGCGAAGGCGGGUUCCUGGACAUUAACUGACGCUGAGGCACGAAGGCCAGGGGAGCGAAAGGGAUUAGAUACCCCAGUAGUC
rnacentral:rRNA from 1 species